rnacentral:rRNA from 1 species
UACGGAGGAUGCGAGCGUUAUCCGGAUUUAUUGGGUUUAAAGGGUGCGUAGGCGGCUUUUUAAGUCAGCGGUGAAAUUUUGCAGCUCAACUGUAACAGUGCCGUUGAUACUGGGGAGCUAGGAUUUGGUUGCUGUGGGUGGAAUGUGUGGUGUAGCGGUGAAAUGCUUAGAGAUCACACAGAAUAUCGAUUGCGAAGGCAGCUCACAAAGCCAAGAUUGACGCUGAGGCACGAAAGUGUGGGGAUCAAACAGGAUUA